rnacentral:lncRNA from 1 species
AUAGAGGUGGCAUAAAUCUGGAGGUUCUGCAAAGUCUUCCCAGAGGUGAAGUAUUCAGGCUGAUCUGGAACUCUGGCUGGAUAAUGGAGAAGAGCAAUCUGGGCACUGUUACCACUGGGCAGGAUGACAUGGCGGCCAUGCCCUCUUCAUGAUCUCUUGUUGUGAUCUAUCACUGGGACAGAAGGAAGGUGAAAACAUUUACUUCAGACUGUUUACUACUGUUCGAUUCUAUUUUUCCUUUGAUUUUCUCUUCUCAGUCAUAAGUGGAAAUGGAAGGGAUUCAUUCAAAGGUAAAAUUCUGAGAUUUUGGAGGAAGAAGUUGGCCCAUAGAAGAAUCAUCCAGUUAGAACCCCAAGAUCAUUAUUUGGGGCAUCUAAUUAUUAAUGUGGGAUGCUUUAUAAAGUGUGUAUGGGGGUCUUGAAAGAUAAAGCCUGUGCCUCUCUCAGUGAAUUCUUAAAUUUUCCCUUCCUUCUGCAUUUUGAAUUUGAACCAAGAAAAUGGAACAACAUUGUAUGUUUCCAGUGAAGGUAAAAACAUCUGUUGAAUAUCUUGAGUCUAGAAAAUAACAUUGAAAAUAUAGUGGUUGAGGACCAAUUCCUCAUCCUGAAGUUUACAAUGUAAUGAAAAAAAGGAAAUGUAUAAUUUUAAUAAAAAUGCAUGCAUUGAAAUGUGGUGGUGCAGCAAGAGGCUUUAGAAAUUCCUGUUGCAGAGAUUUAUAUAAGACUGCCACAUCUUACUGGAGAAUGAUGAAAUAAUGAAGCAGAAAUAAUCUGAAGAUAAUACCUGAGAAUCAAAAGGGAUAAAGUAAUCACAGUGCAUUAUUCCACUAGUUCUAAAUGUUUUCAAAUAAAAAAAGAUUAAAGACAGGCUUGAGAGGCAUACAAAUGAUUUCGACAAAGCCAUAAAUUUGAAAAUAUGCUGAGUAAA